rnacentral:rRNA from 1 species
AGAGUUUGAUCCUGGCUCAGAACGAACGCUGGCGGCGUGCCUAACACAUGCAAGUCGAACGCGAAAGGGGGCAACCCCCGGUAGCGUGGCAGACGGGUGAGUAACACGUGGGUAACCUACCCGGAGGUGGGGGAUAACCCUUCGAAAGGAGGGCUAAUACCGCAUGAUACCGUGGGGACCUCGGUCCUUACGAUCAAAGCUGGCCUCUGUUUACAAGCUAGCGCCACCGGAUGGGCCCGCGCCCCAUUAGCUAGUUGGUGAGGUAACGGCUCACCAAGGCGACGAUGGGUAGCCGGCCUGAGAGGGCGAUCGGCCACACUGGAACUGCGACACGGUCCAGACUCCUACGGGAGGCAGCAGUGAGGAAUAUUGCGCAAUGGGCGAAAGCCUGACGCAGCGACGCCGCGUGGAGGAUGAAGGUCUUCGGAUUGUAAACUCCUGUCGAGUGGGACGAAUGCCGUGAGGGUGAACAAUCCUUACGGUUGACGGUACCGCUGGAGGAAGCCCCGGCUAACUCCGUGCCAGCAGCCGCGGUAAUACGGAGGGGGCUAGCGUUGCUCGGAAUCAUUGGGCGUAAAGGGCGUGUAGGCGGCCGAUCAAGUCGGAGGUGAAAUCCCUCGGCUCAACUGAGGAAUUGCCUUCGAUACUGUUCGGCUUGAGUCCUGGAGAGGGUAGCGGAAUUCCCGGUGUAGCGGUGAAAUGCGUAGAGACCGGGAAGAACACCAGUGGCGAAGGCGGCUACCUGGACAGGUACUGACGCUAAAGCGCGAAAGCUAGGGGAGCAAACAGGAUUAGAUACCCUAGUAGUCC